rnacentral:rRNA from 1 species
GACGAACGCUGGCGGCGUGCCUAACACAUGCAAGUCGAACGGACCGGCCUCUUUUGGGGGGUGCCCGAGUGGCGACAGGGUGAGUAACACGUGAGUGAUCUGCCUUUCUCAUUGGGAUAACUUCUGGUAACUGGGGCUCACAUCGGAUAGGAGCUUAUGCUGCAUUGUGGGGGCUGGCAAGUUUCGGCGGGUGGGGAUGGGCUCGUGGCUCAUCAGCUUGUUGGUGGGGUAGUGGCCUGCCAAGACUUUGACGCGGAGCCGGCCUGAGAGGGUGACCGGCCACAGUGAGACUGGGAUACAGCCCAGACUCCUACGGGUAGCAGCGGUAGGGGAUGUGGCACAAUGGGAAGGGGCGUGAGGCUGCAGCGGCGUGGGCGGGUUGACGGCCUACGGGUUGUGAACCGCUUACGCUCUUGACGGAGCUGUGAGUGACGGUAGUGGGUAAAGAAGCACCGGCUAACUACGUG